AUAUCAGUAAGCAGAGGAAAAGAAACCAACAGGGAUUUCCCUAGUAACUGCGAGUGAAAAGGGAGCAGCUCAGCGCUAAAGCUCGACUCGUUUCGGGUCGAGCGGUGUGGCGUUUGGAGUGUCCAAUCUGUUACGGAGGCGCGGUCUAAAUUUCGCUGGAACGCGGUUGCAGAGAUGGUUUCACACCAGUCUGGCCGAGCCGAGUAGCGGAGACGACUCUCUGGGAGUCGGGUUGUUUGGAAACGCAGCCCAAAGCGGGUGGUAAACUCCACCUAAGGCUAAAUACAGACACGAGACCGAUAGCGCACAAGUA
rnacentral:rRNA from 1 species